CGCGCCUCACUGAUUGUGUUGUGUACAGUCUUCUAUAAUUUGGGUAAGAUUUUAUGAGUUUGAUCUAACUUUAUUUGGUCAUUUUGGUUUUUUUUUUCAUUUUUUGUAUUGUUGUUUUAGGUGAAACACCUCUCUCCACCUAAUCCCCACUAAUACCGCUCACAUAAAUAAUAAAUCAUAUGUACACAUAAAGCUCUAACAGCUACAGCAGAGCAACACAUCAUAUCACCUGAGCUUCUCUGAAAGGAACAAUGAAUGCCAUACUCAAUAACUGAAUAUACACAUACUAUGUAAGGCAAUGGCUAUUAAUUGAGCCAAUAUCUCUAGAAAUUUAACACCAUAUUUAUUUGAAAUGAGCGUCCCAUAACAUAAGAUCGUUUUGCAAGAUAUUUUAUAGCUUGCAAAACGAUCUUAUAUUAUGGGAUGGAGGAACUAUUACCAUAUACAUUCUCAGCUUUGAGACUCACUAUGAAGGUAUCUAUCAAUAAUUGUGAUAUCAAGUGUAUUCUAUCUACAACCUAACAUCUAAAAGAAGAAAAAUCUAUCAACCAUGUUCACCUCAUGAUAUAACCUAGUAGCAUCAUUGGUGACACAUUCCUCCUUGUAAAGGAGCAAUGUAUACAGCAUACAGUCAAACAAAUAGCAUGCAAAGAUAACAGAGACAAGCGCAUUUUGGCAAAGCAUGGGAAGUGACAACUCUUAACUAUCCAGAGAAAAGAAAAGCAUAAAAACCACACCCACUUGAAUGACACCUAUGCUUAGCAAUGAUUCAAGGCAGAGCAGUCCAAAAUGCAAUAAAAUAUCUGCCAAAUGAAGAUGUCACAAAACUGUAUACAUCAGUAAGGAGUAAAAUAAAACUUGCAGAUCCAUAUAUCAAUUCCACAUGCAUUGACGUUCAGUCUAUCUAAGUAAACCCGCAAUGAGCAUAUGCGUGAGGUAAUGCACAAUAUGCGUUUCAGAAUGCAAGGAUUUUCUUGUCUACGCAGUGGACACUGGUGAGUUACCUCAACAACUGCACUCUUGGUUAUGACAUCAAUGGCAGGGAAAAUCCCACUAUACAAGUAGAAGGCUACGAAAUUUGUAGGCCGGAAUAAAAAUGGGCAUGCAUUCUAAAUAAAGAGGGAAUAUCCUUACUGCAGAAAUUUCUAAGUCUGAGUUGCUAUAAUACACAAGGUCAAGGAGAAUUGUAAGUAGUUUUCAUUAAAAAGAAACUGUAAGUACUGGCUGCUACAAUGCUAAAGAGGCAUGAAUAAAAAAAUUGAGUAGAUUCCAAUUUAAAUUAAACAGAUAUACUGCAACAAGAAAACAAGUGUGCGGAGUAAAGUUCAUCAGCGACUCUGCACAUACUCCCUCCGUUCCUAAAUAGAGUAUAAGACAUUUUUAGAGAUUUCAAUACGGACUACAUUAGCAAAAUGAGUGAAUCGACACUCCAAAAUACAUCUAUAUACAUCCGUAUGUAGUUCAUAUUGAAAUCUCUAAAAAAGCCUUAAAUUUAGAAACAAAAGGAGUAUAUAGCAAAAGAGCUAACAUUCCAUCAUCACAACAAACAAAAUGUUACAGUUGCAUUCAAGAUCAACAGCAACCAACACAGUGCAGAGCACCAGGGACCAGUUUUCCUGAACAACUGCACUCUUGGCGAGUUAUCUCUACAACUGCACUCUUGGUUGCAGGCAAAAUCCCACUAUACAAUACAAGGCAAUGAAAUUUAGUACAAGAUGUUCUAACUUUUACUGAAUCGGAUGUAUAUAAACAUGUUUUAGUGUGUUUAUUCACUCAUUUCAGUCCGUAUGUACUCCAAUUUGGAAUAUCCAAAACAUGUUAUAUUUGUGAACGGAGGGAGUACAAUGCUAAUGAGGAGUAAACAAAAAACAUGAGUAGAUUCCAAUUUAGAUUAAACAGGUAUACUACAACAAAAAACAAGCGUGCGGCCAACAAGGCUAGUUCAUCAGCUGAUACUGCAGAAUGUUACAGUUGCAUCCAAGAUCAACAGCGACCGCCACAAUGCAGAGCACCAGGGACCAGUUUUCCUGAACAACUCCAGUCAAUUAUUCAUCACCCCGAAACAGAAACAAGAAAAGGCCUCACCCCGGCGCGGUCGGCAAUGGGAAGGGCGGGCGCUCAGCCGGCCAUGGGGUGGUUGGCGACGUACUCGAUGGCGAGCGGAAGCGAGUUAAUCUUGUCAGCCUCCAGGUCGGGGAUCUCGAGCUUGAACUCCUCCUCGAUCGCCAUCACCACCUCCACCGUGUCCAGGCUGUCCAGCCCCAGAUCCUUCUCGAAGUGCGCCUCGGGGGUCAC
rnacentral:lncRNA from 1 species